CACAGCGGUCUGUUUGCUUGAGGAUGAGAUUUGUGGUCUGUGGUAGCGGUGAAGCAACUUUGUAUUGUAAAAUUGUAAAAUGGGCCGCUCUGUUACUACAGAUGCAACAAGUGCCAGUCCACUUUUUUUCAGCUGCACCCUCUCAGUUCAGGCAGCAGCAGUACCAGGUGUAUGUACAUAACUUCCAAGACACACGAGUGCAAUUCUGAAGCUGAUUUUCAGCCAUGGAGAGAAGAAAUGCAGGAUGCAGCCAAGAGUCAUUUUACUAAAGGCACAGGGGUAAAACGAUUGAAAGAUGGAGGUUUAAAGUGUUAUUAUAUUUGUAACUGAUUGGAUGCUUUUAUAGAGAGGACACAUCAAAGGAAAAGGUCCAUCAAAUCACAAUGUUCCGUCAGGCGUGGGGACACCUGCCUUGCUGAUAUGUCUGCAAUGUUCCAAACUGGCAAGGUCUCGUUUGUCUUCCAAGCUUCCUAUUAUGCACAUAAUUUUGGGGCUGUCCUACACCCCACUUACAAAAACAGAGGAAGAUGUAAUAGAGGCAGCCCGUGCAGGGGGGGUAUAUGUUUAUUCACACAAAAGGAGAUGUCAGCCAGGCAAGUGCCAGCUUGCUACUCCUUAAAAAAAGAAAAAAAACAGGUACGUGAGAAGCCGCGAUGGCAACGAUGUGCUGCGGGCGUACAGGCACUUGUAAAACACUAUAUUGUACUGAAAUGUCCUUUUUUACCUACCAGAAACUAUUUGUUUAUGUUAGGGAAACUACGUGACGGCAUUGCACUCAGCGUACUAUGCAGCUCAGUAUUCGGGGUGUGCUGGAUGGCACGUUUCAAAGGAUCCAAUUCACCUCACUACAAGGCAGUACCUGUACAUCACCAUGAGGGACUAUAAUAUAUGUCACAGUGAGAGGAAACACGACGACAACCAAACCAGUGUUGCCUUGUUGGUCAGUUCUAUCAGAGCCCAAACAAACAGUCCAGUGCUUUCCCUCACACACGAAGGCAAGAAGGAUGAUCCUACUGUCUUUCAACGAGGAAAUAAUGACUUGUUGCAAGAUCAGGAUUUCUUGCUAGUUCUCAUGACAGGCAUGCAAAAACAGCUGUUAAGGCAUUUGGGCACCAACAAAAGUGUGAUGAACACAGGAGGAGCAGGAAAGCUAGCUGGUGUUGACUUGAUGUUAAUGCCGAAGUGUACACUUUCUUUUUACCCGUCUCUCCUUCACUUCGUGUAUUAAAGCUUCUUUGCUGGUUCGUGUGUUUGUGUUCAUCUCGUCCCGUGUUCGUCCUGUGCUUUCCCUCAAACUCAAGGCAAUGUUAACAUCAAAAGAAAAGUGUGCAUAGAUUCUACACAUAGCACCACAGAUGGGUCAUUCUAUGUGAUAGUUGUGUACUGCCACUUCAUACAUUUUGGGUAAUGGUUCAGGUGAAACACUUUACAGCCAUGCAUGCUCUCCUGCAUUGACUUUUCAACUGAAGACAAUAUGCCCCAUUUUUAGCUUGGUGUGUGAUAUAUUACAGCAGGUAAAUACAUUUAAGUGUGGUGAUAUACAUACACAUAACACACAUAAUUGGCAAUUUGUAUAUCCUAUAAAGUGCUCUGACCUGAGAAAUCUUGUAGAAAAAAUUGUGUUAAUAUUCUGCCAAUAAGAAGUGGAAUAAAGUUUCCACUCACUGCACUAGGCAGUUUGUUUUAUUCCGUGUGUUUAUAUCUCUCCAGUACUGAGUACUCUCUUGCAAUAUAACGACUGAUGAUAACGACUGCCCCUGACUGAUGGUAUUGUUUUCUUCAGCUGCAACAGAUGCUUUUUACCAUGAAAAUACUAACAUCAGUUGGCAUUGCAUAAAACCUUGGUGAGCUCAAAGCCGCUGUGUGUAUUCUUGUGAAUGAUUUAUCUAAAGAAAUGUACACCCUUCCAACAUCCAUCAGCAAACUCUUCAUGACUAUAUAUAACGCAUAAUUAUUUCAUUACAUUAAAGGAAAAAUAUAUUGGCAUCACACCAGCUCAAUUGCCGUCUUUCGUUAUCAUCAAAAAUGUGGUGGCCGGGGUACAUGACUCUCAUCAACAUUUUGAUAAUGUAAUUCGCAUACAAUGCUCAAUCAUUUUAAAAUUCUUCAUGCACAUCAUUACGCCUUGUAUAUUCAAGUUGGCUUCUACUUUGUCUCAUGCUAGUGUUGGCUAUCCGUGCGGUAGCCAGAAAAUAUUAUGGGGGGUUCUAUGGGGACCUCCCAGAUGCACUAGUAAAGGUACGAUCUUGGCUAUGCAGUGCUAAACCUGCUGUGAUACUGCGGAACAAAAAUGCCAAACAACUCCGCUUUGUCUCAACAAAGAUGCAAGGAGUUAAAACGGGUGCAGCUAUGUGAAAGCAGCUAUGUGUUCGAAGAGCUACUGGGAAUUCAGAAGAUCAUACUAUGUGCGUGAAAAUAACUAGCACAAUCACAUAUGUUUGUAUGUUCAUGCGUCUUGCCUCAGCAAAUGAGUUCCAAUGUAUGCUUGAUUGCAUUUAUUUAGCAUUUGUUACAAGAGAGCAAAAGUCCUCAAGAUAUUGCAAAUCUAUAUUGUAAAUCUACUCAGUAUUGGCCAGUUAGAUCACACAACUUGGUUGAUUCAUUUUAUCAAGCUUUGUUUCACACCUCAAGGAAACGUAGCUCUUCGGUAACCUCAGUGAGCCAAACACGCAGUCCAGGUCCAGUUUUGGAUAUUUUUACUGGUCUCGUUAGCAAUACAUCGUUCCAAAAUACCACAAAUUUCAGCUGGACACUAUAUCAAUGAGCCUGUUGCCUUGCACCUCAUCGGAGCAGCCCCCUGCUGGCUAGCAGGAAGAUAUCGAAUAAGAAACAGGUGACUGGCUGUUCUGUCCACCUCUCAGUGUGUGUGGCCACUCCUGUUUGCUGCUAGAGUGUCACUCCCAUGAAGAAAUGCAACACCCUGGUCCUCCAUAAACUUUUCUCCCAAUCUGUUCGAAUAUUGAUGCACAGAUGGUGUGAAGAAAGCCAUAGUAGCAGGGCAGUUUUCAACCAGAUUCCAAGAGUGUGCCAAGCAGCAGGAAAUACACCCAGCCAGAGGAUUUCUGUUGAAUUCAUGUUUAAGGACCUUCACAUCUACAUCAUUUACUCAUGAAUGCAACACUGUCAUUUGACAGCACAUGACAGUCCAUUAAUGCUUUGAACAUGAAUUGAGCUUUACCCUCUGGUUGGGCAUGAAACAAUGAAUCUUUCAACAGCUCAUGACCCACAGUUUGAGAAACACUGGUGUACGCAUUCGUCCCAACAAUAAUCUGGCAUCCUUCAAAAACACCAUCAAACAGGACUUUUCUGCUGAUACCGUAGGGUGACAUGCAAUUACUUUUUGAUGGUUUGCAUUUCUCUUUGUUCAUUUGCUAUUUGUUUCUAAUACUUGUCAUGUGUUCUUGGUAUUUCUGUUCCCCUCAAAUUGUGUAGACAUUUGCACUGACUGUGUCUUGGACUGUUCAACAGGGCUUGCCCACUAUCAGUAUCAGUGUAUACUGUCAUGGAAUAACAAUAAAAACCUGAAAACUGAAAAAAAAAAAAAAAACAUCUGAA